rnacentral:lncRNA from 1 species
AUGGGUAUUUCUCCACUGAUCAGUAACCAGUUUGCUUCCGCUUCCUCCCUCCCUCUGUCCUGCCUCUCCUCCCUGCUCUCGCUCCUUCCUCCUUGUCUUCCUCAUCCCCGCCCCUCUCCCUCUUCCCUCCACGCCUCCCUCUCUUCUUUCCCGUUUCCCCUUCUUCCUCCCUCCUUCCGUCUCUCUCCGCUCCUCUCCCAUGACAUGACACAUCCUGUGAGGCUCCAGCUGGCUUGGGGGUGGGCAGUGGGUUUUUCACCAUGUGCCUGCCCGUCCCCUUGGGUACCGUUCGGAGGUGGGGAGAUGCCAGUCCGGCAGCAGCGUCUGUUCAGGGAGCAGAAUCAGCUUCUCGAGCCGCAGCGAGAGUCGAGAGUCGCCACACACGGGAAGAUCAGAUGCCUCUCGAGGUGCUCGGGACCUGGGAGUCCCAGAUGCAGGGCGGCGUGUCCACUAACCAGCUGGAGUGGAUACAGCGUGGCAAUGUCACUACACUCUCCCACAUCCCGGAGCGCAAGAGCUGCGUGUCAGCCCCGCCGGAGGCCCACAGCGAGGAAACGCUCCGAGCCGCCGUUUUUUCUGGGCGUGUGCGCAGCCCAGCAAACUGUUUUCUAAAGGCUUUGAUCUCACAAGUGGUCAAGUUGGCAUUUUUUGAGCCUUCAGCUUCUCCCUUCGAGGGCGGGCGUCACGGUGGCAGUCCCAGGUGUGCCCGCUAGAUGGCGCCGGGAAACCAGGUUGUGGUCACAGGUGCGCGCCCUUCGCCCCUCCUCCACAGGGCUUGACCUGGCCCCUUCCCGGCCCCUUCCUGCCAGUUCCCCGGGUGUGGGUGGGUGGGUGUGUGUGUGUGUGUCCCUGCAUCAGGAGCUUUGGUUCCAGGGGUCCCGGCUUUCCCCUCGAGCCCGGGCAAACAGGCUCCUCCUGCAGCCCACGCAGAGCUGAGCACCGCACCUCCCCGGCACCUGGAGAGGUGUCGCCUACCUGUGCGGCGACAGCCACCACCGCGCGGCUAGGUGGGCAUCUAGUAGGAUUGUUCCUUGAAACUUUUAUUGCUUUUAUUUAAAGGGACGUGUGCCCACUAUGUACUUGUAAAAACCCCUGCACCCCUAGUAUGGCAGAACCAUUGCUCCACAUAUCUGAUCUGGGUCCGUGCGUCGUCCAGAGCUGGCCUGCCUGUAAACAGACCGCAGGUGGACAUCACACUGUGUAGUAAUGAGGCCCUACUCUACGUGCUGUUGUUUGAAGUUUCCCAUUUACUUAUAUUUAAUAAAAGACAAAGAAUCUAAUGUAAAAUCCCCGAGCUUCAGAAAACAUUAGCCACUUCAACAAAUACUGUUUUGUUUUUUUAAUAAACACUUUGCUACGAGUAGGGAAACAAUUAUGGUACAAACAAAUCAAUGAUUGGGGUCAUUAUUUCACUUUUAUUAUUGCUGUUGUUACCAUCAUUGCUACCGCCAUGGCUGUGUUCACUCUUUUUUUUUUUUUUUUUUUUUUUGUNNNNNNNNNNNNNNNNNNNNNNNNNNNNNNNNNNNNNNNNCACUGAGCUAAAUCCCUGGCCCUUGUGUUCACUCUUUUGAUGCCAUCAUUUAAUUUUAGUGUAGAACCCAAGUUAUCCGAUAUGGUAGCCACGAGCUUACCUGUGCCUGUUAAAAUUAAUAUACAAUAAAAUUAAAAAACACCCAGCUCCUCAGUUGCAAAGUAGCCACAUUUCAAAUGCUAAGAGUUUUCACAGUGCACAUAUGGAAUAACCCAGCAGUGGAGAGAGUUCCGUGGGAUUGUGCAGGUAUCGAUUGGUUUACCCUGGCAGAGGAAUGGACAGAACCCGAGGCCCCUCCCACUUCCCCCUUCCUAGAUACAGUGGACCCUUGACUUACAAACUCAGUUCGUUCCUGAGGGCUGGUUGUAACUCAAGUUGGUUAUGAAGGCUCAGGCUCCUCUACGCAGCCUUCAGAGUCUCCUGUACACAGGCAGAUCACAGUGUCCUUAGAGAGGCGUCGGCCCAGGAUUUCUCAGUUAACCCACACAGGAGAGGAUGCUGUCAUGCUCCUUCCGGGACUCUGUAAGGGUUAAUCUGUAUCUGAGACCGUCUGGAAGCACGAGCGGCCAGCAUUUGGGUUGUAACUCAAGACUUGGGUCAUAAGUUAAAGCCAAAAUUCCAGUCGUAACCCAAGUUGUUCAUACGUUAGGCUAGUCAUAACUUGCGGGUCGAUUGUAUUCAUUAGUUACGUGUAUGCAACUAGUAAUAAAUUACAAUAAAAUUUGUAAAUAGCUAAUCCUGUGUAAUACAGGUGUGUUUACACUGUCUAGUCUUGCCAUGUCUCCAUUCUCUUGUAGAACUGCGCGUGUCCACUUUAAUAGCGACGCACGAAUCUUCUCCACCGCUGUCCCUGAAAGACG